UGCCUAAUACAUGCAAGUCGAGCGAAUGGAUUGAGAGCUUGCUCUCAAGAAGUUAGCGGCGGACGGGUGAGUAACACGUGGGUAACCUGCCCAUAAGACUGGGAUAACUCCGGGAAACCGGGGCUAAUACCGGAUAAUAUUUUGAACUGCAUGGUUCGAAAUUGAAAGGCGGCUUCGGCUGUCACUUAUGGAUGGACCCGCGUCGCAUUAGCUAGUUGGUGAGGUAACGGCUCACCAAGGCAACGAUGCGUAGCCGACCUGAGAGGGUGAUCGGCCACACUGGGACUGAGACACGGCCCAGACUCCUACGGGAGGCAGCAGUAGGGAAUCUUCCGCAAUGGACGAAAGUCUGACGGAGCAACGCCGCGUGAGUGAUGAAGGCUUUCGGGUCGUAAAACUCUGUUGUUAGGGAAGAACAAGUGCUAGUUGAAUAAGCUGGCACCUUGACGGUACCUAACCAGAAAGCCACGGCUAACUACGUGCCAGCAGCCGCGGUAAUACGUAGGUGGCAAGCGUUAUCCGGAAUUAUUGGGCGUAAAGCGCGCGCAGGUGGUUUCUUAAGUCUGAUGUGAAAGCCCACGGCUCAACCGUGGAGGGUCAUUGGAAACUGGGAGACUUGAGUGCAGAAGAGGAAAGUGGAAUUCCAUGUGUAGCGGUGAAAUGCGUAGAGAUAUGGAGGAACACCAGUGGCGAAGGCGAC
rnacentral:rRNA from 1 species